CUCCCACCUAAUAUACAGGUGGUGUACCGUACCGUUCUCAGGACUCCCACCUAAUAUACAGGUGGUGUACCGUUCUCAUGACUCCCACCUAAUAUACAGGUGGUGUACCGUUCUCAUGACUCCCACCUAAUAUACAGGUGGUGUACCGUAUCGUUCUCAUGACUCCCACCUAAUAUACAGGUGGUGUACCAUACCGUUCUCAUGACUCCCACCUAAUAUACAGGUGGUGUACCGUACCGUUC